rnacentral:rRNA from 1 species
AUUGAACGCUGGCGGCAGGCCUAACACAUGCAAGUCGAACGAGUGGCGGACGGGUGAGUAAUGUCUGGGAAACUGCCUGAUGGAGGGGGAUAACUACUGGAAACGGUAGCUAAUACCGCAUACCAUCGGAUGUGCCCAAAUGGGAUUAGCUCGGAGGUGGGGUAAAGGCGCACCUAGGCGACGUUCCCUAGCUGGUCUGAGAGGAGGCCCAGCCACACUGGAACUGAGACACGGUCCAGACUCCUACGGGAGGCAGCAGUGGGUAAUAGUGCACAAUGGGCGCAAGCCUGAUGCAGCCAUGCCGCGUGUAUGAAGAAGGCCUUCGGGUUGUAAAGUACUUUCAGCGGGGAGGCGUUACCCGCAGAAGAAGCACCGGCUAACUCCGUGCCAGCAGCCGCGGUAAUUC